AUGGCAGGUCGAGACGAUCGCCGCGGUCCUUGGGGACCGGGGAGGAAAGUCCGAACUCCGCAGGGCAGUGUGCCACGUAACGCGUGGGCGUUUCUGGGACGGUCGGUAGUUUCGAGGGGAUCCCCGAAAUUAUCGGCGCCCGGGGGCGACGGAAAGUGCCACAGAAAAUAUACCGCUUCGAUUCGUCGGAGUAAGGGUGAAAAGGUGCGGUAAGAGCGCACCGCCCGUUCGGUAACGAGCGGGGCAGGGCAAACCCCACACGGAGCAAGACCAAAUAGGCUUCACCUUCGAUUCCAUCGGAUAGGACGGCCCGUUCGAAGUUCCGCUGCAAGGCGGAAGGGUGAAGCGGGUAGGUCGCUGGAUCCCGUCAGCGAUGGCGGGACUAGAGGAAUGAUCGUCGCUCCGAGAAAUCGGAGAACAGAAUUCGGCUUACCGGCCUGCCACAUUU
rnacentral:RNase_P_RNA from 1 species